rnacentral:rRNA from 1 species
AGAGUUUGAUCAUGGCUCAGGAUGAACGCUAGCUACAGGCUUAACACAGUGCAAGUCGAGGGGAAACGAUAUUGGAAGCUUGCUUCCGAUAGGCGUCGACCGGCGUACGGGUGAGUAACGCGUAUCCAACCUGCCCACCACUUGGGAUAACCUUGCGAAAGUAAGACUAAUACCCAAUGACGUCUCUAGAAGACAUCUGAAAGAGAUUAAAGAUUUAUCGGUUGUAUGGAUGGGAGUGCGUCUGAUUAGCUUGUUGGCGGGGUAACGGCCCACCAAGGCGACGAUCAGUAGGGGUUCUGAGAGGAAGGCCCCCACAUUGGAACUGAGACACGGUCCAAACUCCUACGGGAGGCAGCA